rnacentral:rRNA from 1 species
UACGUAGGGUGCGAGCGUUAAUCGGAAUUACUGGGCGUAAAGGGCGCGCAGGCGGCUCAUUUUGUCAGGCGUGAAAGCCCCGGGCUUAACCUGGGAACUGCGUUUGAUACGGAUGGGCUAGAGUUCGGGAGAGGAGAGUGGAAUUCCCAGUGUAGAGGUGAAAUUCGUAGAUAUUGGGAAGAACACCGGUGGCGAAGGCGGCUCUCUGGACCGAGACUGACGCUGAGGCGCGAAAGCGUGGGGAGCAAACAGG